rnacentral:rRNA from 1 species
CAUGUAGGCGGGUCUUUAAGUCAGGGGUGAAAUGCCAGGGCUCAACCUUGGAACUGCCUUUGAUACUGGAGAUCUUGAGUCCGGGAGAGGUGAGUGGAACUGCGAGUGUAGAGGUGAAAUUCGUAGAUAUUCGCAAGAACACCAGUGGCGAAGGCGGCUCACUGGCCCGGAACUGACGCUGAGAUGCGAAAGCGUGGGGAGCAAACAGGAUUAGAUACCCUGGUAGUCCACGCUGUAAACGAUGGAUGCUAGCCGUUAGGCAGCUUGCUGCUUAGUGGCGCAGUUAACACUUUAAGCAUCCCGCCUGGGGAGUACGGUCGCAAGAUUAAA